rnacentral:rRNA from 1 species
CACGCCGUAAACGAUGAAUACUAGGUGUAGGGGUUGUCAUGACCUCUGUGCCGCCGCUAACGCAUUAAGUAUUCCGCCUGGGGAGUACGGUCGCAAGAUUAAAACUCAAAGGAAUUGACGGGGGCCCGCACAAGCAGCGGAGCAUGUGGUUUAAUUCGAAGCAACGCGAAGAACCUUACCUAGACUUGACAUCUCCUGAAUUACCCUUAAUCGGGGAAGCCCUUCGGGGCAGGAAGACAGGUGG